GUGGGCUUUCCCAGGGGUGGUGCAUUACAUUGUGUCAUUCCUCGGCUUUGAACUCUGGAGAGCCCCUGUCCCUCUUAGGACACAGGCAAAGCUGCCCGAGCCUCGAGGGGCAGCCUGCGUGGCCCGGCCCCUGUGGUCCUCUUGCCCUUGGCUUCUUCCAUUUCCCCCACCUCUCCUCGCCAGCCACACGGGCCACAGGGUGUUUGCACAAGUGGCCGUUUCCUCUGCCCAGAGUGUUCUCUUCCUAUCUCCACUCGGGGACUCCUCCUCAUCUCUCAGUUGCUGACUCGGUCUCUUCCUCCAGGAUGCCAUCCCCAACCUCCCCUGACUACUUCAAACCAGUUCUUUUCCAGUCUCCAGGCUCUUUCUUUCUCAGCACUUGCCCUGGUUGUGAAUGCAUGCUCCUGUGGGCAAGUGUGUCACGACCGUCUCUCUUGCCGUUGGCUGGAUUCCCAGCAUCUGCUAUAGGGCCUGGCACACAGGAGGGGUACAACUCGCAUUUGUGGAACGAAAGAAUAAAAGGAUGUGGACGAGGGGGCAGGAACAGUGCAGCCCAGAGGGUCUUUGGGUUCCCGACAGUGUCACGCCCACUAGGAUAAUAUCCAGGCUGAGCCGCUCCCAGCUUCACGACCCCGGGCGAGCACGUGGUCUCUCUGAGCCUCAGUUUCUCUCAUUUGUGACAUAGGAGUGAUCACAAAAGCUCGUACCCUGUUGGGUUUGGGGGGGUGUGUGGUAAAAUAUACACAACAUAAAAUUGACCAUUUUAUCUGUUUUAAAGUGCACAGUUCACAAUGCAGCGGCACCGACAACGUUAGCGUUACACUCUCACUGCUGUGCAACCAUCAUCAUCCAGCGGUUGCAGAACCUACUGGGUUUUCAUGAGGAUUAUGUCAUGCGCCUAAAGCUUUCAGCACAGGCUGGGGGUUGAGAAGUGCCUGGGGAACGUUUUUCAUUAGUAGUAGUAUGAGUAUCGACAAUGGUACCAAGGAACGCUUAUGUCGCACUUGCUGUAUGACAGGCAGCACACGCUCUGGGCCCCUGACGAACAUUAACUCAUUCAAUCCUCACCCCAGCCCACUAAGGUGUAGCCUCUAUGGUCCCCAUUUUACAGAUGAGGAAGCUGAGGCAACAGAGAGGUUCAGUAACUCGCCUAAGGUCACACAGCAGAGCCAGGGAUGGAUUCUGGCUUGAGGAUCUAUACUCUUGACCUCUGCGCAAUGCCAAGCUCAGGGGAAGCCAGAGUGGGGCCGCACGACCGGCUGUGACCUUGAUGGGCUGAGCCGCCUGAGGAGAAGCCACAAAGCACCCACCUACUCCUGAUGUGGGCAGCCAGGAGCUGACUCCGACCAGGUGCUGAGUACCCUCUCUGCGUGUCUGCCCUCAGAGGGACGCCAGGCAGCGUGUCUGGAGAACAGACAAAGAGCCGCAUACCUGGUCCCCGCAGGCUGCCUUCUGCCGAGAUAGUCAUGACAUCCCGAACAACGAGGAGGAAACAAAAUAACCUGUUCAAGGUCACCUGCGAGGAAGCGGCAGGGCAGCGAUUUGAACUCAAGGCUGUCUGAGCGCUUAACCACCAUGCCAUCUGCCUUCACACACCAGACGCGCUGACCAGGGGGCAGGUUCCGUGGCCCGGUGUUAGCGGCAUCUCUGAUGCUGGCUCUCUGGGGUAGUUCCCUCCGGCACUGAGUCAGCGCUGCCAGGACUUACCAAUGGACGGUGACGGAUGAGAGGCUGGGUCAGCCCCAAGCAUCAAGAGGACGUGGCAUGUCCACUUUUGCACUUUUGGGAGCCCCAAGAUGCAGUGGAUAAAGCUUGGCAGUCCUGCUGGAGAGGCCACGUGGAGAAGAGAGACCCUGAGGCCGUGUGGAGUGGAGGGGGCCCCGUCUCCCCAGCAUCCCACUUUAGCCUCUAAAUGACCCCAACCUGUCAGACUGCACGAGAGACCCCACGCAAGAUCAGCUAGGGACCAGGCCAACGAGGAGGAGCCCGGUCCACCCACGGAACAGGGGGGACAACAAGCUGGCUGUUUCAAGCCACUGUCCAAUUGUAGCUAUCAUGAGUUGAGGCCCUACUGUGUGGGCCUCGUAUCCCUGUCCUGAGUAUCACCCCCAUCUUCAAGAUGAAGAAACUGAGGCCCUGAGAGGGAAGAAUGUCACAUAGUUGGAACCAUCCAGUAUGGAGCCUUUUCGCACUGCCUUCUUUCACUUCGUCACAUGCAUUUAAGGUUCCUCCUUCUUUCCACGGCUUGACAGCUCACUUCUCUUCAGCGCUGAGUAACAUUCCAUCAUCUGAAUGUGCCACAGUUUAUUUAGCCACUCACCUACUGAAGGACAUCUGAGUUGCUUCCAAGGUUUGGCAAUUAUGAAUAAAGCUG
ensembl:lncRNA